rnacentral:rRNA from 1 species
CAGAUUCCUACGGGAGGCAGCAGUAGGGAAUCUUCCGCAAUGGGCGAAAGCCUGACGGAGCAACGCCGCGUGAGUGAUGAAGGUCUUCGGAUCGUAAAACUCUGUUAUUAGGGAAGAACAAAUGUGUAAGUAACUAUGCACGUCUUGACGGUACCUAAUCAGAAAGCCACGGCUAACUACGUGCCAGCAGCCGCGGUAAUACGUAGGUGGCAAGCGUUAUCCGGAAUUAUUGGGCGUAAAGCGCGCGUAGGCGGUUUUUUAAGUCUGAUGUGAAAGCCCACGGCUCAACCGUGGAGGGUCAUUGGAAACUGGAAAACUUGAGUGCAGAAGAGGAAAGUGGAAUUCCAUGUGUAGCGGUGAAAUGCGCAGAGAUAUGGAGGAACACCAGUGGCGAAGGCGACUUUCUGGUCUGUAACUGACGCUGAUGUGCGAAAGCGUGGGGAUCAAACAGGAUUAGAUACCCUGGUAGUCCACGCCGUAAACGAUGAGUGCUAAGUGUUAGGGGGUUUCCGCCCCUUAGUGCUGCAGCUAACGCAUUAAGCACUCCGCCUGGGGAGUACGACCGCAAGGUUGAAACUCAAAGGAAUUGACGGGG